CGGGUUACAGGUGCCGCUGGUCUUACGAUGACGAUACUCAGGCAAAUUGGGGUUGCGUUUCUUGCACUUCUUCUAUCAAUAUGUGCGGUAUCAGCCAGCAUCUUGGGUCAUAGCGGUGUUGUCUUACAUGUAGACAAAUAUGGUCACUACACAGGUCACAGCACAAGUUACGACUACAGGUUCUAUCCUGAGAAACCAGUCCUGCCAUUGCCUCUGUUGCAUCCACACAGUAUUUUAGGCCACCAUCCGCUAGAAAGCAUUCAUGGCUAUGAGCUUCUGGACCAUGGAUACCAUGGAAGUGAACCAUUGUAUUACUUCUUGCCUCACGAUCCUCAUCACGUAUUCCAUUAGAUGACGACAAAAAUUUAAUGUCAAGCAUGGAGAUUAGUAGUCUGUCUUCCAAGCUCAAACUUGAGUGAAUCUCAACUGCACAAUUUCAGCUGCUGUACAAAUUUGUCUCCUAUGUUACAUAGGACAUCUGCAUGUACCUCAUUUUAUGCCGCUGUGUUUUCAUAUGCAUAGCUAUGUACAUAUUUAUAAUAUCACAAAUCAUGUGAAUCUUUCGCAGAUACACAAAUGAUAUUGAUCAGACACGGACAUUUGCAUUUGUUGAUGAUAUAGCUUCAUUCAUGAAGUCAGCAUUUAUUGCUUAGUUUUAUGAAGAAAAUGAAAUAAAAUUGUUAUAUUUACAAAUGCUUGAAAUUCUUGAAGCUAAACUAAAUACUAUGAACAAAUGCAAAUAUUGCAAACUAACAUUACACAGAUUUGUUGUAUCAAUACAUAUACAAGAAUUUGCAUAUCACAAUGAGAGACAGAAAAUGUCAUACUCUUGCAUACAUAUUAUUUGUAAUGUUAAAUUACAGGGUGUUAACACUGCCUCAACACACAGAACAAAACACUUACAUAAAAUAAACACAUUAACAAAGGAACAGGAUUUACACCUGGAAAUGUUCUAAAAAAUUAAUUAAUGUUUUAAUGUUUAAGCCUUGUUGAGAUUAAAUGUGUUACAAUAUUCAUUAUCAGAGAAGAAAAACUUUUUGAAAAAAAUAAGCAGACUAAGUGAAACUAUUUUAAGAUAGAGCACUUCUAAAAUGUAUUUCCAUCACACUUGUAAGGAAAAAAAAAAGUUUUUCUCACUAGAAGAAUCCUUCAAGUUGAUGAAAUCACAGACCCAUACACACAUUACUAACUAUUCCACAAUUUUAAUUUAAUGCUUAUUACAUCAAUCCUUUUUCAAUCUAUUUUUCAGUGAAAUAUUAAAUAACAAUAAUAAUUUCAAUAACCCAAUUGAACUUUCUGGGAUCAUUUCCACUUUAUAAUUAACAAAAAUUUAGCUAAAUAUAGAAUUGUUGAACCUGAAGAAGGAUUAUUUAGGUUAAACUUUAGAAUAAUUCUUUGCAUUUAGUUUACAGUUAUUUCAUCUAAUUUUAGAAAAAGCUUU